rnacentral:rRNA from 1 species
GACGUGGGGGAUAGCUCGGCGAAAGCCGGAUUAAUACCGCAUAAGCUCUGAGGAGGAAAGCGGGGGACCGUAAGGCCUCGCGCGUUUGGAGCGGCCGAUGGCAGAUUAGGUAGUUGGUGGGGUAAAGGCUUACCAAGCCUACGAUCUGUAGCUGGUCUGAGAGGACGACCAGCCACACUGGGACUGAGACACGGCCCAGACUCCUACGGGAGGCAGCAGUGGGGAAUUUUGGACAAUGGGCGAAAGCCUGAUCCAGCAAUGCCGCGUGCAGGAUGAAGGCCUUCGGGUUGUAAACUGCUUUUGUACGGAACGAAAAGGCGCCUACUAAUACUGGGUGUUGAUGACGGUACCGUAAGAAUAAGCACCGGCUAACUACGUGCCAGCAGCCGCGGUAAUACGUAGGGUGCAAGCGUUAAUCGGAAUUACUGGGCGUAAAGCGUGCGCAGGCGGUGUUGUAAGACAGUUGUGAAAUCCCCGGGCUCAACCUGGGAACUGCAUCUGUGACUGCAAUGCUGGAGUGCGGCAGAGGGGGAUGGAAUUCCGCGUGUAGCAGUGAAAUGCGUAGAUAUGCGGAGGAACACCGAUGGCGAAGGCA